GAUGAACGCUGGCGGCGUGCCUAAUACAUGCAAGUCGAGCGAACGGACGAGAAGCUUGCUUCUCUGAUGCUAGCGGCGGACGGGUGAGUAACACGUGGAUAACCUACCUAUAAGACUGGGAUAACUUCGGGAAACCGGAGCUAAUACCGGAUAAUAUUUUGAACCGCAUGGUUCAAAAGUGAAAGACGGUCUUGCUGUCACUUAUAGAUGGAUCCGCGCUGCAUUAGCUAGUUGGUAAGGUAACGGCUUACCAAGGCAACGAUGCAUAGCCGACCUGAGAGGGUGAUCGGCCACACUGGAACUGAGACACGGUCCAGACUCCUACGGGAGGCAGCAGUAGGGAAUCUUCCGCAAUGGGCGAAAGCCUGACGGAGCAACGCCGCGUGAGUGAUGAAGGUCUUCGGAUCGUAAAACUCUGUUAUUAGGGAAGAACAUAUGUGUAAGUAACUGUGCACAUCUUGACGGUACCUAAUCAGAAAGCCACGGCUAACUACGCG
rnacentral:rRNA from 1 species